rnacentral:rRNA from 1 species
AGUGAACGCUGGCGGUAGGCCUAACACGUGCAAGUCGAACGGCAGCACAGUAAGAGCUUGCUCUUACGGGUGGCGAGUGGCGGACGGGUGAGGAAUACAUCGGAAUCUACUUUUUCGUGGGGGAUAACGUAGGGAAACUUACGCUAAUACCGCAUACGACCUACGGGUGAAAGCAGGGGAUCUUCGGACCUUGCGCGAUUGAAUGAGCCGAUGUCGGAUUAGCUAGUUGGCGGGGUAAAGGCCCACCAAGGCGACGAUCCGUAGCUGGUCUGAGAGGAUGAUCAGCCACACUGGAACUGAGACACGGUCCAGACUCCUACGGGAGGCAGCAGUGGGGAAUAUUGGACAAUGGGCGCAAGCCUGAUCCAGCCAUACCGCGUAGGUGAAGAAGGCCUUCGGGUUGUAAAGCCCUUUUGUUGGGAAAGAAAAGCAGCAGGUUAAUACCCCGCUGUUCUGACGGUACCCAAAGAAUAAGCACCGGCUAACUUCGUG